CUUCUGUCCCUUCCAAGACCCGGCCACAGGAGGCAUGAGGGGCCCCCGGCCGAAAUGACAGUGCUGGCGCCAGCCUGGAGCCCAAACACACCCCCUCCCCUGCAGACCUAUCUCCUCCUGCUGCUGCUGCUGAGCUCGGGACUCAGUAGGACCCAGGACUGCUCCUUCCAACACAGCCCCAUCUCCUCCGACUUCGCUGUCAAAAUCCGUGAGCUGUCUGACUACCUGCUUCAAGAUUACCCGGUCACCGUGGCCUCCAACCUGCAGGACGAGGAGCUCUGCGGGGCCCUCUGGCGGCUGGUCCUGGCACAGCGCUGGAUGGAGCGGCUCAAGACUGUCGCUGGGUCCAAGAUGCAAGGCUUGCUGGAGCGCGUGAACACGGAGAUACACUUUGUCACCAAAUGUGCCUUUCAGCCCCCCCCCAGCUGUCUUCGCUUCGUCCAGACCAACAUCUCCCGCCUCCUGCAGGAGACCUCCGAGCAGCUGGUGGCGCUGAAGCCCUGGAUCACUCGCCAGAACUUCUCCCGAUGCCUGGAGCUGCAGUGUCAGCCCGACUCCUCAACCCUGCUACCCCCAUGGAGUCCCCAGCCCCUGGAGGCCACAGCCCCGACAGCCCCGCAGCCCCCUCUGCUCCUCCUACUGCUGCUGCCCGUGGGCCUCCUGCUGCUGGCCGCUGCCUGGUGCCUGCACUGGCAGAGGACGCGGCGGAGGACACCCCGCCCUGGGGAGCAGGUGAGCAGGCUGGGAAGAGGGGGUGAGGGGGCCGAGAGGGUGGCCCACUUGUGGCUGACACUUUGGGACCCACAGGUGCCCCCCGUCCCCAGUCCCCAGGACCUGCUGCUUGUGGAGCACUGACCUGGCCAGGGCCUCAUCCUGCCAGGCAUGGUGGCGUGCCCCUGUAGUCCAAGUUACUGAAGAGGCUGAGGCAGGAGGAUCCCUUGAGCCCGGGAAGUGGAGGCUGCGGUGAGCCAUGAUCACCCCACAGCACUCUGGCGUGGACAACACAGCGAGACCCUGUCUCAGAAAAUAAAGUAUGCCCAGACUGCGCGCGGAAGGGCGGGCCUGGCGGGUCUGGUCUCCCCAUGCGGGCCACCAGAGGCCCUGCAGCCUUCAGUCGUUUGAAGGGGUAAUGGCGCUUCCCCCCACAAACAUGGCGGACACAGCGUGUGAACGAGAUGAACAGCCCCUCAAAAAUAUGGCCGCCGAGGCUGGACGGCCGCUCCCCAGCAGCACCGCCUCCACGCCCCACGUGAUCUCUCGCCGGGCACAGCUCUGACCGCGGAGGUCCAACCGGAAGAAUGUCCGGAUUGGACAUUCGGAAGAGGACCCCCCUUCCCGUGGGGAAUCUCUGCGCACGCGCAGAACGCUUUGACCAAUGAAAACACAGAAAGCGGUCUGCGCAACCGCGCUGCGUCACUUCUGCCGCCCCUGUUUCAAGGGAUAAGAAAGCCUGCGACAAGCCCUCCUCCUUUCCCAAGCUGCUGCCGAAGAUGGCGGA
rnacentral:sRNA from 1 species